rnacentral:rRNA from 1 species
UCCUGAAUUCGAACGGGAGGGCUCACAAGCAAGUGUUCUCCUACGGGAUUCAGCCGCUCGGCAGUAUCCCCUCUCCCCGCCAGACGUGGCCGGACGACCGCUCGCGAAGACGACGUCUCGCGGUGCGGAGCCGAUCCCGGCUGCCGCUCGGUGGUGUGACGAUGGGGCUGUUAACCGGCGGCGCAAUUCCCCCCCUAGUAGAAGCGUCGCGACCCGUUGGGUUCGGCUGGCCGCAGGGGCCGGGGAGGCAGCCCGCUUCGUGGUACCCGACCAGUUCGGUGCCCGGGCGGACCCCCGGAUGACCCGGUUGCCGCCCGACGGUAGCACGGAGGAGGCGGUCCGCAAAACGGAUGCGUCCGGCAAGGUGACCGAAGGUGCCUGCCUCGGACUGGACCAUGGCUUCCGGUCGCGCGACGCACCGACCUUCGGACGGUCUC